rnacentral:rRNA from 1 species
UAGGGAAUCUUCCACAAUGGACGCAAGUCUGAUGGAGCAACGCCGCGUGAGUGAAGAAGGCUUUCGGGUCGUAAAACUCUGUUAUUGAAGAAGAACGUGUGUGACAGUAACUGGUCAUGCAGUGACGGUAUUCAAUCAGAAAGUCACGGCUAACUACGUGCCAGCAGCCGCGGUAAUACGUAGGUGGCAAGCGUUGUCCGGAUUUAUUGG